UGUGUAGGUGGUUGGGUAAGUUAGAUGUGAAAUCCCCGGGCUUAACCUGGGAACUGCGUUUAAAACUGCUCAGCUAGAGUAUUGCAGAGGGUAGUGGAAUUUCAAGUGUAGCGGUGAAAUGCGUAGAUAUUGGAAGGAACACCAGUGGCGAAGGCGACUACCUGGGCAAAUACUGACACUGAGACACGAAAGCAUGGGGAGCAAACA
rnacentral:rRNA from 1 species